rnacentral:lncRNA from 1 species
GAAUUCCAUUCCCUCAACGAGGGAGGUCCUCCGCUACUUAGCCCACCUGAAGGAGCUGGGCAGGGCACCAAAGACUCUUAAUAUUCAGUCCGCUGGGAUCUCAUAUUUUUGUAAAGCCUUUUUCGCCACCGACCCGUGCGCUGAAUUUAUAGUGCGUAAGACUUUAGAGGGUUGGCGUCGGCUCCAGCCUCCCAGCACUGACAAGAGGAGGCCUUUAGCUUAUGAUAUUCUGACCCAGAUGCACAAAAAAUUACGAUCAAUAUGCUGGUCAAAAUAUGAAGCUCGCCUUUUCUCUGCCGCUUAUUCCAUAGCCUUCUUUGGUGCCCUUCGCAUAGGGGAGGUAGUCUGUGAGGGAGGGGUUGCCCGCUGCCAGAGGGGCAUCCUCUUAAGUGACCUAACCCUAUCUAGGACUGACCUAAUCGUUCAAGUACGGAGCUCUAAGACGGACCAACAGGGUAGGGGGGCCCUCCUUCGGUUACCAGCCGCGCAGGAUAGCGGACCCUGCCCGGUUAGGGAUACGAGGCGUUUCCUCUACUUAAGACCCAAUAGCCCUGGCCCUUUCUUAAUUCACGCGGAUGGAUCGCUCUUGACCAGACACCAGUUUACGCAGGUGAUGCGCAUGGCUUUGGCAGCAUGCGGGCUGCCCGCGGCGGAAUUUGCAGCUCACUCCUUUCGGAUUGGGGCAGCUACCACCACAGUACACCUCGGGCUCUCGGCCGAGAGGAUAAAGGACUUGGGGCGGUGGAAAUCUAAUGCGUACAAAGCUUAUGUGAGAAAGAAUCUAUGACUAGCGGUUGAGCUCCUGACCUUGGUUUUUCUGUCUAUUUGCUUUUCAGAAUACACGAGGGUGCGCAUUUGGUUGGUGGGCCACAGCAUUGUGCAUUGGGCCAAGAAUCGAGCCAUGAGGACCGGGUUGGGGCAAAACUUGAACUUACCUGAAAAUGUUGAACUGGCAUGGAUAGCGCGAAGGGGGAUGCGCUGGAGCGAAUUCAAGCCAGCCGUGAUGGCGAGAGCCACCGCUGAGGGCCCACCUGAUGCCCUGGUUAUCCAGCUAGGGGGAAACAACCUAGCGUACCGCAAAGCUAUUGAGAUGGAACAUUUUUGACGAUUUUGCUGAUCUGAUGGUGGCUUAUCCAAACAUUACUAUCCUGUGGUCCUCGUUGCUUGAGAGGAGGAUAUGGAGGGAUAGUGUGAGCCCGGUUGGAAUCAAUAAAGCAAGAAAGGUCUUGGAGUGGGCUGUGGCACGUAGAGUGGCGGCUCUGGGCGGGUGCGUCAUAGGCCACCCAGGCAUCCAGCACAGCAACGAGGCCCUCUACAGAUGGGAUGGCGUGCAUCUGUCAGAUGCUGGAAAUGAUAUUUGGUUGGGGGACAUCAUAGCAGGGAUUAGGAAUUGGUUACAGGUUUGAAGGUAUUGGCGGCGAGCUUUGCUCGAUUGGUGGUUAGGCAUUGGCAGGGGUAAUUGUUAUGCAAAUGAAGGGGGAAAGGAAGCGCCAUCACCUUCCCCCAAGGAAAAGGGUAGUCCGGUAGAGGACUCCGGGGGGCGUUGCCUUGUCCGAAACCUAGGGAGGUAAGGGCCUCCGGCACGCCCCUAAGCGGUGACACCCGUGGGAUCCUAGUUGGCGUACUUCAACAGGACCCCCACGGCUUGUGGAUAACCCUUCCCGGUCUCCAUGCCGGGUAGUCGAAAGGAGCCAGUGCCUAAGGCCAAUACCUUCCAAUUCCUGUAAUCAAUAAAGUUGUGGCCUUUUUAUGUCCAUUAACCUUAAAUAAUGUGUCCUGUGUUUUCAUUUCACAUAGGGGAGGGGACUUGCCACGCAACCAAUACCUCUAUCUUUUUCUACUUUGUAACACUUUGUAUAUUUCUCCUUCCAAAACUUCUUGUAGUCCUACUAGAGUAAUUUGUUGAUGACAGUUGAUCUACAAAUAAUUAAUAUACUUCUUCCAAUCUUCUGUAAAUCUCUGUUCCUGCAGGUUUCGAAUCCUUCCUGUCACCUUCCUGUCAGGGUAUCCUGUUAAAGGGAUUCGGAGGUGUGGAUUCUGUCCGAAGCCCGGGCGCGGGCUAAAGCCAUGCCAUGACCCCAACAGGGACACCUCAGGGUGCCCCUAUUUGAUGUAAGCCAUAGGGCUCCCCCUUCUGGUGGUUUACCCUUAGUUUGACUCCCUGCAGAUGGGCAGGAGUCAAGAUAUAGCCUGGUUUCACCCAGUGCCUAAACUAGGCUUCCUCAACCUCGGCCCUCCAGAUAUUUGGGGCCUACAACUCCCAUGAUCCCUAGCUAGCAGGACCAGUGGUCAGGGAUGAUGGGAAUUGUAGUCUCAAAACAUCUGGAGGGCUGAGAUUGAGGAGGCCUGGCCUAAGCCAAACCACUCACAUCUGUAACCAAUAAAGUUGUGGCCUGUGUUAGCCCAUAAUCCUAAAUACUCGUGUCUGCAUGCUUAGUAAUCACUGGGGAAUUGUAGGGCACAGGGCCUUGGAAUGCAAAGAACUUCAUUGGGUCCCCAAACUCUCACCUCCUCAUAGAGUUCCUAUUUUGCCCCUGGCAAGCCAAAAACCCUUCUGUGGUGCUCCCUUUAAUUUUGGGGUUUGUCCAAAGCCAAUGCACGCUGCCAUAUAACAUGGCGUCAACCACAUUGUUCCUGGACCAUUGGCAGCUGAGAAAAACUCCUGCUGGAACACAAGUCUUCUAAACACUUAAGGAAAUGAAAAGAAGGGAGGAAGAGUUGAAAAGAAAGUGCUCUCUUUUUAAAUUGUGAGGACUGAGAAUGUAGAAGAGGGGAUUAUCCACUACAUGUGACAUGGAUUUAUCAAUAUCCCAGAGGCUGGGCUUGUGAAAAGCCAAUGAGGAAAGGUUAUGCAAAUACAGUUUCCUAUUCUUCAUGCUAAUGACAGCAGGAAGAAAAUCUAAUUAUCACCCUCGAAUUACAGUGAUCAGACAUUGGGAAAGUCCUUUAGGGCAAUUCAGAGGCACUUAAGGCUGAUUGAGCAAUGGAUAGAAGUGCUAGAUUUGUUGUCAUGGUGACUGAAAAAUGAAUUCACAGAACUAAAGGCAAUUUUCUGGCCCCUUAAGAUGGAGUUUAUGAAGUUGUGGUUUUUUUUAACAUGGUGUAAGCCAAACUAUCAAUACAGAUGUAAAAAGGCAGCAUUUUGGCUUUGUCACAAUCAUGGCUGUUUCCAUUCCGCUGCAGUUUGGUUUCCUCUAAAUACUACAUUAUUUGUCUCGGUUUCCACUAUUUAAUGUCAUGCUAUUUACAUAACUUACAGUUAUUUCAAUAUAAAGGAAACAUCAAAACAAUGGUGGGGGAAAAUCAAACCCAUCGUUAUUUGCGCAUCAUUUGUGAAGUUACAUGACAACCUGAAUGAAUACCAAUCAUAUUUACAUGACUGAUUUCCAUUCCUGGCCAUAGACAAGCACAAGAACUGCAGCAAUUUCUGCUACACCUCCAUUUUCAUCAGAACUUUUCAGCAUCCCUAACUGUCAAACAGGCAAAUUCUAAGUCAACACCAAUAUAGGCUCAGUAGUUCACAAAUUGUUGUAACAGGUACCCACCUCCUGCUACUGCAAUGAUGAACAAGAGAGACAGUGGCAUGAACAGACCAACCUGAUCACAGACCAUAUUAAAUGGUAGUCCCAAACUAGUCAAGAGGAUAUAAGGCUCAUGCUCCAACGCAAAAACUUGCCUAGAAUGAGGUCAUUCUGCUUUCAUGUAGGUUUAACAUUGGUCUCUUUAAGAGAUCAGAUAGCUGGAGGCAUGAUAGCUCUCUUCACAUGUACCUCUGCACUUACAAUGAAUGCUCACUCCUGCCAUCUACACAGGGAGCCCUUUCCAUCCCAUAUUCCUAGACAUUUACCCGCUGGGAAUGUGCCAACACAGGAGCAAACUAGACUUAAAUGUGCAGGGACUGUGCUUUUUGCAGGAACUCCAACAGCAUAUAGAAGCCCGAAUGCAUACAGUUUGGAUGUGCCAAGGCAUGUUGCAAAUCUACAUGGCUUGGUGGGGAGGUGCAUGCCCCCAGGAUCCCACUAAGAGCAUUCAUUGCACAUCAAGUGGGUUCAACUGAACAGUGCUUCUCUAAGGAAGACAGUUGUUUUCCUGUCCUAAGGACUGCUCAGUUGGUUAGAGUUGUUGGGAAACUGUGUACGUGCAGCUACUCACACAGAGUCAAUUAAGGUUGGGCAGCCAGCCAGAAGGCAAUCUGAAGGAGUAAGUCUGCCUGGUGAUAACAGAGACAUGGAGACCGCUCCCUGUUUGGUCAAGCUCUCUCAAGGGAGUGAUAAUUAAUGGCCUGCUAACUGGAAUGUGUUAGUUCUUAGUUCGUGAGUUCAGAGUUCUGUGUCAGUGUAGGAGUUGUGAAUCGUGUCAGAGAGAGCUAGCUAAAGAUCCAUGUUCUGUUCCUGUAAAUAGUCCACUGUAUAUAAUAAACACCUAAUACAAGUUCCUGGUUCCUGCUUCGUCUAUCCUGUCUGCAGCUAAGUCGCCAAUUGCUUCUGUGGAUUCUGCGUGUACUCUGCUAGGUCUGGCUAAGGUCCUGCAACUAGUCAGAAAGUUGCGAAACACCAAAUAGGUUUUACCAAUAAGAGAGUGGUGCUGAUAAUGCCAAGGUUUCAGGUUCGAUCCCCGUAUGGGACAUGUGCAUAUUCAGGUUGGACUAGAUGAUCGUCGGGGUCUCUACCAGCUCUGUGAUUCUAUGAAGUUGCAUGAUCCCCAAGGAGAAUCUCCAGAAGCAGGGAGCUAUAGGUACAGAACUAAGUAACAGUGCAUAAAAUAAUACUCAGUUUAUUAGAAUUAGUUGAUAGUCAUAGAAUAGUGAACUGGCAAAGCAGGGGUUGUUGGGCAUGUUUGAAUUUGGCUGCAGAGAUCUCCGUUCAGAUCCUUGAUCAGUCAUGUCCCAUGACUGCAAAAGAUAAAAAAAGGUUAAGGACCCCUGGAUGGUUAAGUCCAGUCAAAGGUGACUAUGGUGUUGCUUUCAGGCCUAGGGAGCCGGUGUUUGUCCACAGACAGCUUUUCCGGGUCAUUUGGCCAGCAUGACUAAUCCGCUUCUGGCACAAUGGUGACACCAUUACAGAAACCAGAGCACACAGAAAUGCUGUUUACCUUCCCACCGCAGCUGUACCUAUUUAUCUACUCAUACUGGUGUGCUUUAGAACUGCUAGGUUGGCAGAAGCUGGGACAGAGUAAUGGGAGAGCUUACCUUGUCGUGAGGAUUCGAACUGACAACCUUCUGUUCAGCAAGCCCAAGAGGUUCUGUGGUUUAGACCACAGUGCCACCUGCGUCCUUCCGACCAUGACUGCAAUCCUAGGCAUAACCUGGUAGUAAGCUCCAUUGAACUCUGGGGUGCUUUCUGACUGCAUAAUUUCAAUUUAUAAAAAAUGUUCAUCAUUAACAAAAUGUCUCUGUCCUGCUGAAACGGAACCUUUAGCUUUUAAUUAGAAGAAGAAGAAGAAGAGUUUGGAUUUGAUAUCCCGCUUUAUCACUACCCUAAGGAGUCUCAAAGCGGCUAACAUUCUCCUUUCCCUUCCUCCCCCAGGUGAGUGAGGCUGAGAGACUUCAAAGAAGUGUGACUGGCCCAAGGUCACCCAGCAGCUGCAGGUGGAGGAGCAGAGACGCAAACCCGGUUCCCCAGAUUACGAGUCCACC